AUUAUGUGGUAGGAGACGCGGCACCGGCACCGUGCGAGGACGACUGCGAGAUACGGCAUACGCCGGUUGUAUGCAGGUUGGGAAGUCCAAGAUCAUAUCCCUGCUCCUUGAUAAGCGAACAAGAACCUCUGUUUCUCUUGCCACACUAGCAAGAUCCAUCAUGGUCGUCGUCCACCACAUCUGACAUGUUCAAGUGUUCAACCUUUUACUCGCCCCUUGGUUUGUCUUCAGCAUUAGCUCCUGCUGUGAAACAUGUGACGGCACACUAAAGAGCCACAAGCAUAUAUGGCUUCAGAGAUGUGGAUGACGUGUUCGAGGUAAUGCUCAACAGGUUGUAGUAAAGAUAGGCAUGAUGUAGUAAAGCUGCUUCCCUGCUCUGACUUCAUGCUCUUUUGCUCCAACCAUUAAUUUAAGACGUUAAUUCAGCAGUGUCACAUAACAAGUCGAUGAAUUCUCUUCAUCGCGUUUACAGUAGUGGUGGGUGCCUGCCCCCACUAUCUUGGAGUAGACCAAUCCUAGCACAGGCUGCACACAAGACAAGUCCACACCAAUCACUUUGUGAGAGGCCGAUUAGUUGCCUUAGGCCCUGAAUACACGGAUAAAUUAAGCAGGUUCUUCAGGUGAGCUCAGAGUUCCAUAGAGCAGAAUACAUUUUUUCCUAAACUAUUUCAAGACCAAAAAUACA